rnacentral:rRNA from 1 species
UGAGAAUCUGGCUCUAGGUUCGGGACAACCACUGGAAACGGUGGCUAAUACCGGGUAUGCCGAGAGGUGAAAGGUUAACUGCCUGGAGAUGAGCUCGCGUCUGAUUAGCUAGUUGGUGGUGUAAGGGACUACCAAGGCGACGAUCAGUAGCUGGUCUGAGAGGAUGAUCAGCCACACUGGAACUGAGACACGGUCCAGACUCCUACGGGAGGCAGCAGUGGGGAAUUUUCCGCAAUGGGCGAAAGCCUGACGGAGCAAUACCGCGUGAGGGAGGAAGGCUCUUGGGUUGUAAACCUCUUUUCUCAGGGAAUAAGCAAGUGAAGGUACCUGAGGAAUCAGCAUCGGCUAACUCCGUGCCAGCAGCCGCGGUAAUACGGAGGAUGCAAGCGUUAUCCGGAAUGAUUGGGCGUAAAGCGUCCGUAGGUGGCUGUGUGUGUCUAUUGUUAAAGAGUUUGGCUCAACCAAAUAAGGGCGGUAGAAACUACACAGCUAGAGUGCGUUCGGGGCAGAGGGAAUUCCUGGUGUAGCGGUGAAAUGCGUAGAGAUCAGGAAGAACACCGGUGGCGAAAGCGCUCUGCUAGGCCGCAACUGACACUGAGGGACGAAAGCUAGGGGAGCGAAU